AUUGAACGCUGGCGGCAGGCCUAACACAUGCAAGUCGAGCGGAUGACGGGAGCUUGCUCCUUGAUUCAGCGGCGGACGGGUGAGUAAUGCCUAGGAAUCUGCCUGGUAGUGGGGGACAACGUUUCGAAAGGAACGCUAAUACCGCAUACGUCCUACGGGAGAAAGCAGGGGACCUUCGGGCCUUGCGCUAUCAGAUGAGCCUAGGUCGGAUUAGCUAGUAGGUGAGGUAAUGGCUCACCUAGGCGACGAUCCGUAACUGGUCUGAGAGGAUGAUCAGUCAAACUGGAACGGAGACACGGUCCAGACUCCUACGGGAGGCAGCAGUGGGGAAUAUUGGACAAUGGGCGAAAGCCUGAUCCAGCCAUGCCGCGUGUGUGAAGAAGGUCUUCGGAUUGUAAAGCACUUUAAGUUGGGAGGAAGGGCAGUAAGCUAAUACCUUGCUGUUUUGACGUUACCGACAGAAUAAGCACCGGCUAACUCUGUGCCAGCAGCCGCCGUAACAC
rnacentral:rRNA from 1 species